rnacentral:rRNA from 1 species
UACGUAGGGACCAAGCGUUGUUCGGAUUUACUGGGCGUAAAGGGCGCGUAGGCGGCUUAACAAGUCACUUGUGAAAUCUCCGGGCUUAACUCGGAACGGCCAAGUGAAACUGUCAAGCUAGAGUGCAGAAGGGGCAAUCGGAAUUCUCGGUGUAGCGGUGAAAUGCGUAGAUAUCGAGAGGAACACCUGCGGCGAAGGCGGGUAGCUGGGACGACACUGACGCUGAUGCGCGAAAGCCAGGGGAGCGAACGGG